CUAAGCCUAAGCCUAAGCCUAAGCCUAAGCCUAAGCCUAAGCCUAAGCCUAAGCCUAAGCCUAAGCCUAAGCCUAAGCCUAAGCCUAAGCCUAAGCCUAAGCCUAAGCCUAAU
ensembl:ncRNA cTel7X.2 ncRNA